UCGACAGUUGCCUGCGAGAGUGAUAGUUAGGUUGCAACUCGCAGCGAGUGACAAUAACAGUGAUGUUGCAACGCCACGAGAGGUUGCAAUGCUGGUGGUGACAGAGUUACAGUCCCAUGAGAGGUUGCAAAUGAGAGUGCGGAGGCAUUCGAGUGAGAAUGAUGAGAGUGAGAGGUUUCAAAGUUACUGAGCUUCAAGGUUU
rnacentral:lncRNA from 1 species